AUGCAAGCUACUGACAUAACCAGGGGCGCUGAAGUGACAGAGUGCAGCGGAAAAUGGACAUCCGGAGUGGCAUACAAAAGGCAGUGGAGCCCCUCCCUACCUCUCUCCCCUCCUCCCCUCAACAGCCGGAGGACAGCCAGGCAGAGCGGAGCGCCAGGCCCACCGCUGACAACCACAGCAAGGACACCCAGCCAGCCGCCGGCCACCGAGACGACAAAAAAUUGAUGACACCUCUGCCAGCUCUUACGGACAAAUAGCCAUGAGCCCCCUGGGUGCACAAGAAAGUGGAUAUCGGCACUCACCAUCUCAAAUCAAACUUCACAUGCGCCGAAUACAACAAAUGUAGACCUUACCGUGAAAUGAUUACUUACAAGCCCUUAACCAACAGUGCAGUUCAAGAAGAGUUAAGAAAAUAUUUACUAAAUAAACUAAAGUAAAAAAUUAUAAAUAGUAACACAAUAACAUAACAAUAACGAGGCUAUAUACAGUGUGCGGGUGUACAGGUUAGUUGAGGUAAUUUGUACAUGUAGGUAGGGGUGAGUGACUAUUCAUAGAUAAUCAACAGCGAGGAGCAGCAGCGUACAAAACAAAUGGGGGGGGGGUCAAUGUAAAUAGUCCGGUGGCUAGUUGAUUAAUUGUUCAGCAGUGAUGUACUGGGCUGUACACUUUACCCUCUGUAGCGCCUUACGGUCAGAGGCUGAACAGUUGCCAUACCAGGCGGUGAUGCAACCGGUCAGGAUGCUCUCGAUGGUGCAGCUGUAGAACUUUUUGAGGAUCUAGGGACCCAUGCCAAAUCUUUUUAGUCUCCUGAGGGGGAAAAGUUUUUGUCAUUGCGCUCUUCACUGUCUUGGUGUGUUUGGACCAUGAUAGUUUGUUGGUGAUGUGGACGCCAAGGAACUUGAGACUCUCGACCCGUUCCACUACAGCCCCGUCUCAGAUUGUUCUGAAAUUGUUUCUGUUGUUGGAAACAGAUAGGAUUAGCAUUCCUGCAACAUUUUGUUGAAAUAUAAUUUCACACAUCAAACAUCCUGAUAGUACCAGUUUCUGAUCACUAGUUGGUGCUGUUCACAUUAUUAGCUAAAAAAGUUUGUUAAAGGGAUAGUUCACAAAAAUUACAAAAUUACAUAUUGGUUUCCUUACCUUUUAAAAACCCUAGAGUCGAUUGACGCACUGGUGCUAGAGCAGUGUUUGUCAGACCAUGAGACAUCCUGAAAAUUGGUCUUUUUAUGAAAACGUCUGUAGUAGUGAUGACUCAUAACCCGCAGUCCCCGUGGUUAUAUCACGUGAGGAUGGGUUUAGGGUCAUGAAAUAUUGUGUGGCUGAAGGGCAGGUGGGUACGUGGCGGGAGGGUUGAAUAAAGAUUUAAAAAAUACCUACACAGCCAAUCGCCAAAUAAUGCUUUUGGAAUGGGCAGAAAAAGUUAACGUCAAUAUACAGAGGCAAAAGGGACAUCGUCAAAGUUUAAUUCAAUAAGACAAAAGCUGCAAAAGGAGAGUUGAAAAUUAAGAGAAGAGAGGGCCAGCAAAAUCAUGUUUGUAAAAGAUCUGGUGAAGUGGUAGAAGAGGAUGAUAGCAGUGCCUGCUAUGUUAUUUGUGAUGAUUGUGAGGUGCUAAACAAAUUAGACAGUCACAAGACAGGACUUCAAAUAGGCCUAUGGCAUGUCAAGGGAAAUGUAGCCUUCUGUUUAGAUGGGUUAAAUGGAAACUGAAAUCUGGACAGUGACUGUAGGUGUAUAACCUCACAAAUAGCCGUAAUAAUAACUCCUGCAGAAUUAAGCAUUUCUUGCAGUAAAAUGAUACACCAAAUGUAGACUAAAUUUGGAGAAAUAGUAUUUCUAAAUUCUCAGUUUGAUACCAUCUGUAGAGGUGCUUUCUUCAUCAUAAAAUAUUAUUAGUAUUUCAACCAAAUAAAAUAUGCAUUGAAGCCGAACUGAAAUCUUAUCAGAAACACUUUGGGUCGUUUUCACAGCUUUCUUUUUUCCUUACAACCGGUCAAAAUGAUGUCAUUUGGACAUGCACAGAAAAUCUUCCAUUUUUAUUGUAUUUUCUCCCCAGUCCCUAAACUCCUUUGCUCCGCGAAAGAUGACAGAGAAAACUUUACCGAUGUCAACUAGAUUGAAGCAUUCAUACUAUCGAUCUAUUACAUUAUACUGUUGGGCAAGGGUUUAUUUAGUCUUCUAGGGCAACAUAUAAUGACAAAAGAGAAGCUAUGUACCUAAUUAUAGACAAGUUGACUAACAAAUAGCCUACCAAAAUGUUGGAAAUUUAAGCUGGAACAUAUCUAAAACAGGCAACAACAAAUCCUGCACGCCUGUCAAAUCGUUCUGCAGUCAUUGACUGGAGCAGGUAGCAUAUGUUCUAUAUAUGCGGGUUAGGGUUGGGUGCGGGGCUCAGAUUUUCACUUUGUCACAUAGUCGGGCAGUUGUGGAUGGGUUAUUAGCAAUUGCAGGCGAGUGAACAAACAGCUGACCCGCGCACCACUAGUCUGUAGUGUCCGAACGAUUUGACCUAAAAAACUAUUAUGACCACUCUAUGGGAAAGGGGAGACUCUCACGAACACAAUAGUAUUCUCCGUGUUGUACUCUACCAGUGCUGGUUUAAAAAAAAUAUGGAAGUAUGAAGGUAGUGGUUAAAUAUGUG
rnacentral:lncRNA from 13 species